rnacentral:lncRNA from 1 species
AUUUUAUAUGUAUUUGAUAUGUAUAAUUUUAGUUUUAGAUCUGAAAUUUGAUAUAUAUGUAAUACAUAUUUUAAUUUAGAUCUGAAACUACAUAUAUAUGAUAUAUGAUAUUAGGUUUAAAUCUGAAAUAGUUUCAAGAUCAUAAGUCACUAAUGCAUGUAAUAAAAUAUAAUCUAAAAAUUAUUUUUAGAUCUAAAAUUAUAUUAUUGC